GACCGGCGCACGGGUGAGUAACGCGUAUGCAACCUGCCCGAUACCGGGGUAUAGCCCAUGGAAACGUGGAUUAACACCCCAUAGUACUUUUAUCCUGCAUGGGAUGUGAGUUAAAUGUUCAAGGUAUCGGAUGGGCAUGCGUCCUAUUAGUUAGUUGGCGGGGUAACAGCCCACCAAGACGAUGAUAGGUAGGGGUUCUGAGAGGAAGGUCCCCCACAUUGGAACUGAGACACGGUCCAA
rnacentral:rRNA from 1 species